rnacentral:rRNA from 1 species
CCGACCAGAGCCGCGGUGCGAUCACAAGGACCGUCCGUUCGGUCUGAUGGAGCCAUAGCCCACCACGUACGUUCUGAACCGUGUCAGGUUUCUCCAUGCUCUUCUCCUGCCCUCGGUCUCCCAUACUUGAUAGGAGGUUGCUUCACAAACGAUCAGAUCGCCGGAAACCUAACCACCACCAAUCGGCCUUGCUUUGGCCGGAAACUCUCUCUUUCUUCUUUCUCUCUCUCUACUGUUUCUGAGUAUUUACUUGGAGUUAUGAUUGAACGACAGAAAAGACCAUAUUUAUAGAAAAUGAAGGGGUAGUCUUGCCCACGAACAGGCAUGCUGGCCAGGGAUGGGCACAAUCGGCCAAGGGUUACACCCUCUCGGCCCAUGCGUCCCUUCGCCAAUACCGCAGGGAUUGGGUCGGACAAGCCCAAAGCCUUACGGACUUAGCCCACCCUUGUCCCAAGCCCAACGGUCCAUGGCCUCAUGGCCGGACCCCAUGCCCCCACCGCCGGACCCGGACCAUCGACCAAAACCCGAACAGUCCGUCCAUCUGAGAUGAGCUGACUUCCAGCUGCUCAGCUGAGUGGCUAGUAGUUCAGCUAGUGGAGCUGGCUUAGUAUGGCGAGCUGGAGUGGGCUAACCUAACUCCUUGAUGGCGAGCUACUUGUUCCAUCCGUCCAGCUACCGUCUACUCGUCCUAGUUGCUUUCGACUUGUAUAAGUUAAGUCUAAGUUUCCUUACUCUUAACCUUCUUUCUGCCAUGGAACACUUGCUUGAUGUCUAAGAUGACUGUACGUUUCUCGUAACCAUGGCGUCCCAAUGUCCUAUUCAGGAUCCGGAUGUGUUCGAGCAAUCGGCUCGUAUCUCCGUUGAGUGCGGGAAUUCCGAAAGAGUUAUCUUUCUGUUAUACAGCCUGCCCCACCCUUGGAAACGGCCAGCCGGAGGUACGAAUUCGGCUCCAGCGGCUGGAAGAGCACCGGCAGUCGCGUGGUGUCCGGUGCAUUCCCAGCGGCCCCUGAAAACCCAGAGGACCGAAUGCCGCUCACGCCCAUUCGUACUCAUAACCGCAUCAGGUCUCCAAGCGGAACAGCCUCUGGUCGAUGGAACAACGUAGGCAAGGGAAGUCAGCAAAAUGGAUCCGUAACUUCGGAAAAAAGAUUGGCUCUGAGGGCUGGGCUCGGGGGUCCCAGUUCCAAACCCGUCGACUGUUGGUGGGGUGCUUGAGCCGCUAACUUGGCGAGAGCGGACGGCGUCGUGUCGGCCGGGGAACGGACUGGGAACGACACUUUCGGGAUCUUUCCACGGGCGUCGAACAGCCAACUCAUAAUUGGUACGGAUAAGGGGAAUCCGUCUGUUUUAUUAAAACAAAUCUAUGACUCUCUUAAGGAAGCCAAAAGCCUCGUCAUCUAAUUAGUGAUGCGCGUGAAUGGAUUAACGAGAUUUCCACUGUCCCUGUCUACUAUCCAGCGAAACCACAGCCAAGGAAACGGGCUUGGCAGAAUCAACGGGGAAAGAAGACCACAAAUUUUAACGUUAUUUUACUUUCUCCGUGAAACGGAGGCGGGGUAACAACCCCCUCCUUUUAGACCCAAGACUCGCUUUAGCGGGUCGAUCCGGGCGGAGAACAUUGUCAGGUGGGGAGAUUUGCUGGGGCGGCACAUCUGUUAAAGAUAAUGCAGGUGUCCUAAGAUGAGCUCAACGAGAAACGAAAUCUCGUGUGGAACAAAAGGGUAAAGGCUCGUUUGAUUCUGAUUUUCAGUACGAAUACGAACCGUGAAAGCGUGGCUUGUGGCAGCCAAGCGUCCAUAGCGACGUUGCUUUUUGAUCCCUUGAUGUCGGCUCUUCCUAUCAUUGUGAGGCAGAAUUCACCAAGUGUUGGAUUGUUCACCCACCAAUAGGGAACGUGAGCUGGGUUUAGACCGUCGUGAGACAGGUUAGUUUUACCAUACUGAUGCCCGCGUCGCAAUAGUAAUUCAACCUAGAACGAGAGGAACCAUUGAUUCGCACAAUUCGUCAUCGCGCUUGGUUGAAAAGCCAGUGGCGCGAAGCUACCCUGCGCUGGAUUAUGACUGAACGCCUCUAAGUCAGAAUCUGGGCUAAAAGCGAGCAUGCGCCCGCCGCCCAAUUGCCGACCCUCAGUAGGAGCUUCGGCUCCCAAAGGCACGUGCCGUUGGCUAAGUCCGUUCGGCGGAAGCGCUGUUCGGACCGCCUUGAAUUAUAAUUACCACUGAGCGGCGGGUAGAAUCCUUUGCAGAUGACUUAAAUACGCGACGGGGUAUUGUAAGUGGCAGAGUGGCCUUGCUGUCACGAUCCACUGAGAUUCAGCCCUUUGUCACUAAGAAUCGACCCUCCCCCUUUC